UCAGAGAAAAAUAAUUUGAGAAUAACAACUAGCACUAAAAGCAGCUAUAAUAGGAUCUCACAGCCAUGGCAUCUUAGGGGUUCUGGUACAUUGAGAUACAGUGAAACUCCUCGACAACGAAACCUACAUAAAUACCCCCCAAUGUGAAAAAAUCUUCAUGCAUUAACACCAUUCCCACUUUCCUGCUCAACAUACAACGAGAAAAACCCCUGUUGCG